rnacentral:rRNA from 1 species
UAGGGAAUUUUGCGCAAUGGACGAAAGUCUGACGCAGCGACGCCGCGUGAGUGAUGAAGGUCUUCGGAUUGUAAAGCUCUUUUGUGAGGGAAGAAUAUGCAGGUGAAUAAUCUGCACUGACGGUACCUCAAGAAAAAGCUCCGGCUAACUCUGUGCCAGCAGCCGCGGUAAUACAGGGGGAGCUAGUGUUGUUCGGAUUUACUGGGUGUAAAGGGAGCGUAGGCGGAAAUCUAAGUCAGGGGUGGAAUUUCGAGGCUCAACCUUGAACGUGCCUUUGAUACUGGAUUUCUUGAGUAUGGGAGAGGACGAUGGAAUUCCUGGUGUAGCGGUGGAAUGCGUAGAUAUCAGGAGGAACACCGAUGGCGAAGGCAUUCGUCUGGAACAAUACUGACGCUGAGGCUCGAAAGCAUGGGGAGCAAACAGG